GGAAUAUUGCACAAUGGGCGAAAGCCUGAUGCAGCGACGCCGCGUGAGGGACGACGGCCUUCGGGUUGUAAACCUCUUUCAGCAGGGACGAAGCGAAAGUGACGGUACCUGCAGAAGAAGCGCCGGCCAACUACGUGCCAGCAGCCGCGGUAAGACGUAGGGCGCAAGCGUUGUCCGGAUUUAUUGGGCGUAAAGAGCUCGUAGGCGGCUUGUUGCGUCGACUGUGAAAACCCGUGGCUCAACCAUGUGGUCUGCAGUCGAUACGGGCAGGCUAGAAUUCGGUAGGGGAGACUGGAAUUCCUGGUGUAGCGGUGAAAUGCGCAGAUAUCAGGAGGAACACCGGUGGCGAAGGCGGGUCUCUGGGCCGAUAUUGACGCUGAGGAGCGAAAGCGUGGGGAGCGAA
rnacentral:rRNA from 1 species